GACGAACGCUGGCGGCAUGCCUAAUACAUGCAAGUCGAACGCUGAAGCACUCUGCUUGCGGAGUGCGGAUGAGUGGCGAACGGGUGAGUAACACGUGGGAAAUCUGCCUAGGAGUGGGGGAUAACAUUCGGAAACGGAUGCUAAUACCGCAUAUCUUUUUGAACCGCAUGGUUCUUAAACGAAAGACGGCUUCGGCUGUCGCUCUUAGAUGAUCCCGCGGCGUAUUAGUUAGUUGGUGGGGUAAAGGCCUACCAAGACCAUGAUACGUAGCCGACCUGAGAGGGUGAUCGGCCACACUGGGACUGAGACACGGCCCAGACUCCUACGGGAGGCAGCAGUAGGGAAUCUUCCACAAUGGGUGAAACCUAGAUGGAGC
rnacentral:rRNA from 1 species